rnacentral:rRNA from 1 species
UCCAUGGGGCAUAGCCGCCUGAGGGCACCUCAUCACAGAAGCUAAGCAGGGUUUGGCUUAACCAAGACUUGCAUGGGGGACCACCUGGGGAGACUGGGCCUGGAG